rnacentral:rRNA from 1 species
AGUGAACGCUGGCGGUAGGCCUAACACAUGCAAGUCGAACGGCAGCACAGAGGAGCUUGCUCCUUGGGUGGCGAGUGGCGGACGGGUGAGGAAUACAUCGGAAUCUACUCUGUCGUGGGGGAUAACGUAGGGAAACUUACGCUAAUACCGCAUACGACCUACGGGUGAAAGCAGGGGAUCUUCGGACCUUGCGCGAUUGAAUGAUCCGAUGUCGGAUUGGCUAGUUGGCGGGGUAAAGGCCCACCAAGGCGACGAUCCGUAGCUGGUCUGAGAGGAUGAUCAGCCACACUGGAACUGAGACACGGUCCAGACUCCUACGGGAGGCAGCAGUGGGGAAUAUUGGACAAUGGGCGCAAGCCUGAUCCAGCCAUACCGCGUGGGUGAAGAAGGCCUUCGGGUUGUAAAGCCCUUUUGUUGGGAAAGAAAUCCAUCUGGUUAAUACCCGGGUGGGAUGACGGUACCCAAAGAAUAAGCACCGGCUAACUUCGUGCCAGCAGCCGCAGUAA